UAAUAGAUACCCGGGUAGUCCACGCCGUAAACGAUGGAUACUAGCUGUUUGAGCGCAAGUUUGAGUGGCUAAGCGAAAGUGAUAAGUAUCCCACCUGGGGAGUACGGGCGCAAGCCUGAAACUCAAAGGAAUUGACGGGGGCCCGCACAAGCGGUGGAGCAUGUGGUUUAAUUCGAUGAUACGCGAGGAACCUUACCAGGGCUUAAAUGUAGAUUGACGUAUUUGGAAACAGAUAUUUCUUCGGACAAUUUACAAGGUGCUGCAUGGUUGUCGUCAGCUCGUGCCGUGAGGUGUCAGGUUAAGUCCUAUAACGAGCGCAACCCCUGUUGUUAGUUGCCAGCGAGUAAUGUCGGGAACUCUAGCAAGACUGCCAGUAUAAACUGUGAGGAAGGUGGGGAUGACGUCAAAUCAUCACGGCCCUUACGUCCUGGGCCACACACGUGCUACAAUGGCCGGUACAGAGAGCAGCCACUUAGCGAUAAGGAGCGAAUCUAUAAAGCCGGUCACAGUUCGGAUCGGAGUCUGCAACUCG
rnacentral:rRNA from 1 species